rnacentral:misc_RNA from 1 species
GAAACUAAUUUCCACUUGCCUUUCUUUUGUAAAACUGUUAAUUUCCUUCUCAUCCCACCAUCACAUUCUGAAGACAUAUCCUCACCUAUGUAAGACACAGCAGUGAUCAAAAGCCUCAUCAUCUUAUCAGUCCACUUAACACGUUGCCAUGGUGACCGUUUCUUCCCUCUACCUGCUUCAUUGUGACCAUCAGCACCAUCUUCUGUGUAGGUUGGCUCAUCCUCAUCACUUGCUGAACUUUUCCCUUUAUCUCCCUUGUUGUAAUUAAUCAGGGAAAUGGUUUUAUCAGAGUUGUUCAAAGUUCCCAUGGAAAGGGGAGAACCAUCAUGAACUGAAG